CCUACGGGUGGCAGCAGUGGGGAAUAUUGCACAAUGGGGGAAACCCUGAUGCAGCGACGCCGCGUGAGUGAAGAAGUAUCUCGGUACGUAAAGCUCUAUCAGCGGGGAAGAAAAUGACGGUGAGUGACUGAGAAGCCCCGGCUAACUACGUGCCAGCAGCCGCGGUAAUACGUAGGGGGCACGCGUUAUCCCGAUUUACUGGGUGUAAAGGGAGCGUAGACGGCAGCGCAAGUCUGGAGUGAAAUCGCGGGGCUUAACCCCGGAACUGCUUUGGAAACUGUGCGGCUGGAGUGCAGGAGGGGUAAGCGGAACUCCUAGUGUAGCGGUGAAAUGCGUAGAUAUUAGGAGGAACACCGGUGGCGAAGGCGGCCGACUGGACUGUAACUGACGUUGAGGCUCGAAAGCGUGGGGAGCAAACAGGAUUAGAUACCCCAGUAGUC
rnacentral:rRNA from 1 species